GGACAACCUGCAUUGGACCCAGCUAUUGCUGCAGCAUUUGCCAAGGAGACAUCCCUCUUAGGGCUUCCUGUUGCAGCUGUUCCAGGAGCUCUGAGUCCUUUGGCCAUUCCAAAUGCUGCUGCAGCAGCUGCUGCAGCUGCUGCUGGCCGAGUGGGUAUGCCUGGAGUCUCAGCUGGUGGCAAUACAGUCCUGUUGGUUAGCAAUUUAAAUGAAGAGGUGUUUAUGGAGAUGUGCAGCGUGUGAAGAUUUUGUACAAUAAGAAAGACAGCGCUCUAAUACAGAUGGCUGACGGAAACCAAUCACAACUUGCCAUGAAUCAUCUUAAUGGACAGAAAAUGUAUGGAAAAAUUAUUCGUGUUACUCUGUCUAAACAUCAGACUGUACAGCUACCUCGAGAGGGACUUGAUGAUCAAGGGCUAACAAAAGAUUUUGGUAAUUCCCCAUUGCAUCGUUUUAAGAAACCUGGAUCCAAAAAUUUUCAAAACAUUUUUCCUCCUUCUGCCACCCUUCACCUAUCUAAUAUCCCUCCAUCAGUAGCAGAAGAGGAUCUACGAACACUGUUCGCUAACACUGGGGGCACUGUGAAAGCAUUUAAGUUUUUUCAAGAUCACAAAAUGGCUCUUCUUCAGAUGGCAACAGUGGAAGAAGCUAUUCAGGCCUUGAUUGAUCUUCAUAAUUAUAACCUUGGAGAAAACCAUCAUCUGAGAGUGUCUUUCUCCAAGUCAACAAUUUAAAAAUGGGAAGAUGAAGAUUGGGGGUGAAUCACAUUGUUCAAU
rnacentral:sRNA from 1 species